rnacentral:rRNA from 1 species
UACGGGGGGGAGCAAGCGUUGUUCGGAUUUACUGGGCGUAAAGGGCGCGUAGGCGGCCACCGCAAGUCGACUGUGAAAUCUCCGGGCUUAACCCGGGAAAGGUCAGCCGAUACUGCGGGGCUAGAGUGCAGAAGGGGCAACUGGAAUUCUCGGUGUAGCGGUGAAAUGCGUAGAUAUCGAGAGGAACACCUGCGGCGAAGGCGGGUUGCUGGGCUGACACUGACGCUGAUGCGCGAAAGCUAGGGGAGCGAACGGG